UUUCGACAAAUAUUCUAUUGUUUUAUCAAUGUUUUUUCUGAGCGGAGAAACCAGGGAAGAAAGUGAUUUUGCCAUCGAUUGUGGAUGAUCAACAAAGCCGAAUGAAGAGAUUUAGCACAAAUUAUUCAGGGCUGCUGGGAUUGGUCGUACUGUAGUUAACAUUGAAAACACUUGGGAAGCCAAUUGCUGGGGAAGAGUUUGGAAGAAUUAGAAACACUAAAUCUAAAAAUUCAGGAAGGUCUCAGGUGAUGAUGGAUCGAUCUUCUCACAUAAGUUGUUGCUGUGACUGUGGAUGGCAUGAAUUACGCUCCGCGCUUCAUGAAGCAAAUAUUGGACUUGGAAUUGGCUUUGCUCUGUAUUAUAAGGCAAAUAAUAGUGACCACCAUGUUGCCUUCAAGAUUUUAAUACCUAUUAAGUUAAUAUGCUCCAUGGAACAACACUCGCAUAUAUGUAUCAGAAUUUAAUGGUUUGGAAAAGGCAAUGAGGUAUGUGGUUGGUGCUGGAGCGCAGGAAAAGGCAGCCACUGCAGAAAGAGUAAUAGUUUUUAUCUUCCUUUCUUUUAUCCCUUUUUAAUAUAUAGGAAGUUCAUUGUUACAGUAAAUCUUAGAUCUCAACUAAGAGGCAGUGUGGAAAACUAACUAAAUAUGUAAUGGAGAUGUAACUAAUUAUUCUAAUUGACUGCUAUAAGCACGUUAGAUGUGUAGCUUGGUGCAAUGCUGAAUAAUAGGUUAGCUCAAUGUGAUAUGAUUGCACCAAGUAUCUGAUAUUUCUCCACACUGAUACACUUUAUAGAGGUUUCUUUGGAGUUCUUUCUUUAUUGAUUUAUUGAACCAGGCCAGUUGGUAUGUGGGAAUUGCUGGUGGAGCUGUGCAUUAGAAUUGGUUGAGGUGUUACUGAUAUUAAUAACACCACACUGCUUGACGAAUUACCAGUUGGUAUGUGAGAAUUUUAAGAUGAAUUUAGUUGUCUUCUUCCCAAGUACCUAGACUUUUUUGAUGGUAACUAAUUUGUCCUCUAUACUACUCAUAUAGAUUCAUAGUGAUAAAAGAGAUAUUGAAUUGCAAACUAUGUUAUAUGCCUAAAAGCUGAACAUUACUUUUCUUGGUACUUUUUGCAGGGUCUUGAGGGUAUGGCCUGUAUGAGCUUCUUAAAUUGUUUGUAUAUGAGUAGUCUUACAUGGGAAUUAAGAUUCAUAUAUGAAUUUAAUGCUGGGGUGGUUAUACGUAGUAAUUGCUUAUAACAUUGUGCCAGGAAAAUCACUUUCUCCUUUAGAUAUGCAACCCAAGUAUACACCAACAUCAACACACCUGCAACAAAUGAAAUUCGAGAGAGGUUAAUUGGUGCAGUGUAUUGUAUAUCAUACACCAUUACUAUAGAGAAAGUGUGCAUAUGGAACUGGGGAGAUGCAUGCUACAUAAUCGUUUGGAAGUUUGAUAAACAAAACCACAAAGGGAAAAUAGCACCUGACCCCAGAGAAAGAGUACACUAAGGAAUUGACAUGAGUCUCUACAAUGAAUGACCCAAGAACUUCGCGUGUACCAUUAUUGGAAGCUGAUGGUGCCAUUCUUGCAUAUCAGUUACUACAAUUAUUCAUGUUUCCAUGUUGACUCUAACAGAUCAACUUCCGGGAGUCAAGGUGAUUUACGGUAUGUCCUUUUUUACAAUUCGAUAAAGGAUUUUUACCCUGAUCCUGGAUGCCCUCGAAUAUUUUUCUAUGAUUUGAUGUUUCGGCUCCACUUGAAGAUCGACAAACCCGGUAAGAGCUUUUUGUUUCCAUGCUUUCCCCCCACUUUUGUUUGAUUUUGUUCAGAGUACAUAUGGGUGUUAGUGAUAAUGGAGAACAUUUUGUUUCCCCUAAUUUUUUUGGGAGGGAACGUUACUUAUAGUAACUUGCUUCCCUUAGUAUUUUAGGUUCACAUUUUAGGCGUGUUAGGAUGCCGCACUUUCUGCUUACGGAGCAAAAAAAAAAAAAAAAAACAUUAUUCAGGUACUAGCCCCCUUUCGUUGAAUAUCUAUAUUUCUAAGUCUGUUGCUGUGGGGUUUUGAGAGUGGUUUGAACUAAAAGUUUCCGAGAAGGCGAGAACCGAUGAAAGCCAAGUUUAAUGUCACUGUCAAAAUUGAGAGUUUUGUCAAUGUGUGAGAUUUCUGGGGCUUUUGCAGAUACUUUAUAUCAUCAAGUAUAUAAAUAGCGUCUAUAAACUGGAACUAAAGUUGAUUUUUCCAAUUCGUUCAAGUAUAUAUAUACUUCGCUUAGUGUCAUUAUUGGAAGCUUUAUCGUUUCCUUUAAUUCUUUUGUGGUUUUAUUUAAUAGUUUUGGGUUUACCAUUCUGAUAUUGUAUUUUCACAUUAUCAACAAGUCAGGUGAUUUUCAGAAAUAUUUUGUGUAUUGGAUUUUACUCUUUCUGAAGCAACUUAUAAUUCAAUCUCAUCAUGUAUUUAUCAAACUUUUAGAUUUGGCGUUACUUCAAGUCAAGACAGUGACACAAUUUUCCUGGACAGUGUAUGCAAGACUUGGACUGCUUGGACUGCGGAAGCAGUAGCUUAUCUAAAAAUAUAUGCAAGACUUGGUCUUUAGAUGACGCCUAUCGGUCAAGCCCCAAAGUGUUAGAUCAAAAGCCUUGCGCAGGAAAUUGAUACACAAAGGUGUUAGAUCAAAGCCUUGCUAAAGAUUAUAACAGUAACAGUAAGGGCUUACUCUUUCUUUGGUUGUCUUAGCUCAAGAGGUAGAGCGCAUGGCUUUUAGUCACGAGGUUGUGGGUUCGGCUCCCACAGACAAUGACUUUGUAUAUUAGAAGAAGUUUGCUAUGCCCGGUGCGAAGCACGGGCACAAAUCUAGUAUACUCUAAUUUGGAAUAGAUAAGUUUACUAGAUAUGAGAACACGUGACCUCUUUUCCUGAGCGCGCACCUGCAAGGCGAUAAAUUAUAAUUGAAACAUAACCUACCUUGUACUUGACAAUUUAAUCUAACAAGGACGUGACCUCUUUUCUUCUUCA